rnacentral:lncRNA from 1 species
UAGGAAAUAUCCUUUAUUUUUUUUAUAAUUUUUUUAUAAUUUUAAUGAGCAGAUAAUUUGAAAUUUAUGAAUUUUAUAGAGGUGGAGGAAGAAAAUACAAUAGGGGUGUUGCUCUCUCCACCUUCCCAAGUGGGUCAUGCACCUCUUCACUAUUUUAAUUUAUUUCAAAUAUAUUCUACACCUCCUACUAUUUUCUUUUAUUCCAAAAAUAUCAUACACCUCCC